AGGAUAACAGUUUAUAGUAACAUUUAAUUUGCAUUUAAAAAAUAUUGAAAAAUUCAAUUUAUCUUA
rnacentral:tRNA from 1 species